CACCGAAGCUGCGGCAGCGACACUGUGUGUUGUUGGGUAGGGGAGCGUUCUGUAAGCCUGUGAAGGUGUGUCGUGAGGCAUGCUGGAGGUAUCAGAAGUGCGAAUGCUGACAUAAGUAACGAUAAAGCGGGUGAAAAGCCCGCUCGCCGGAAGACCAAGGGUUCCUGUCCAACGUUAAUCGGGGCAGGGUGAGUCGACCCCUAAGGCGAGGCCGAAAGGCGUAGUCGAUGGGAAACGGGUUAAUAUUCCCGUACUUGGUGUUACUGCGAAGGGGGGACGGAGAAGGCUAUGUUGGCCGGGCGACGGUUGUCCCGGUUUAAGCGUGUAGGUGUGUGUUCCAGGUAAAUCCGGUUCACUUUAACACUGAGGCGUGAUGACGAGGCACUACGGUGCUGAAGCAACAAAUGCCCUGCUUCCAGGAAAAGCCUCUAAGCAUCAGGUAACAUCAAAUCGUACCCCAAACCGACACAGGUGGUCAGGUAGAGAAUACCAAGGCGCUUGAGAGAACUCGGGUGAAGGAACUAGGCAAAAUGGUGCCGUAACUUCGGGAGAAGGCACGCUGACAUGUAGGUGAAGUGAUUUACUCAUGGAGCUGAAGUCAGUCGAAGAUACCAGCUGGCUGCAACUGUUUAUUAAAAACACAGCACUGUGCAAACACGAAAGUGGACGUAUACGGUGUGACGCCUGCCCGGUGCCGGAAGGUUAAUUGAUGGGGUCAGCGCAAGCGAAGCUCCUGAUCGAAGCCCCGGUAAACGGCGGCCGUAACUAUAACGGUCCUAAGGUAGCGAAAUUCCUUGUCGGGUAAGUUCCGACCUGCACGAAUGGCGUAAUGAUGGCCAGGCUGUCUCCACCCGAGACUCAGUGAAAUUGAACUCGCUGUGAAGAUGCAGUGUACCCGCGGCAAGACGGAAAGACCCCGUGAACCUUUACUAUAGCUUGACACUGAACAUUGAGCCUUGAUGUGUAG
rnacentral:rRNA from 1 species